CUACGGGUGGCAGCAGUGGGGAAUAUUGGACAAUGGGCGAAAGCCUGAUCCAGCCAUGCCGCGUGUGUGAAGAAGGCCUUCGGGUUGUAAAGCACUUUCAGUGGGGAAGAAAGCCUUGGGGCUAAUACCCUCGAGGAAGGACAUCACCCACAGAAGAAGCACCGGCUAACUCCGUGCCAGCAGCCGCGGUAAUACGGAGGGUGCGAGCGUUAAUCGGAAUUACUGGGCGUAAGCGUGCGUAGGCGGUCUGAUAAGCCGGUUGUGAAAGCCCCGGGCUCAACCUGGGAACGGCAUCCGGAACUGUCAGGCUAGAGUGCAGGAGAGGAAGGUAGAAUUCCCGGUGUAGCGGUGAAAUGCGUAGAGAUCGGGAGGAAUACCAGUGGCGAAGGCGGCCUUCUGGACUGACACUGACGCUGAGGUGCGAAAGCGUGGGUAGCAAACAGGAUUAGAUACCCGGGUAGUC
rnacentral:rRNA from 1 species